ACAGCAGCUGAGCUACCUUCACGUGUUCUGCAGUAACACAGACAUUUACUGCAGGGCUAAUCCGUAAUCAAAUGCUGCUAGAGCUGACUGUGCUUCAUCUUGUUCCUUAAACUAGUCACAGCUGAACUAGCCAAGGCUCGCAUUGGCUAUUUUUUAGGACGCAGCUGACUAAUUCAGUCUUUCUUUAGAUCAAGAGGUGGACAAAUAUGCAAAUCUACUUUGCAGAUGGGACUUAAGCUGGCCAUAUAAUUUUAACUACUUCUGAAGGACCUUGGGAACUUCAAUGCCCAGAAAGAAACUGAAAGGAAAGACGGAUCUGUCCCGUUCUCUGCGAGCUGAGUAUCAGUUCUGGUGACAAGAAGCUAUGUAAGUUUGCUCUCAUGGCAGAUGAGGCAAAUAGCAUUCAGGCUGCAUCGGAAAGAGCAUGCCCAAGCAGAUCAGGGAGGCUGCUAUCUCCAUCUACUGAAAAGAGUGAAUUUUCCCCUUGCUCUGGUGCUGAAGGCAUUUAGCUUUGUUCCUGUUUACCACUUGAGGGAUGAGUGGUUACUGGUAUUCACUCGUGCUCCUUGGCUUUGGGAUUGCUCACUACUGCCAUAACACGAGACCGGUGUUUUGAGCCACUGAGGGCCAGGGUCUGCUCUCCUUGUUCUCUGCAGCUAGGGUCACUUCUCUGCUCGUGUCUGAAAAAUACUUGGGCAAGCCUCUACUUCUAAAUGAGGUGUUUCCUAAUUUUUUUUUUUUCCCUAGAAGGCUUUGCAACUGUGUGUUAUAGAAAUGUUAAUCUACCAUAAAGACCUCUUUCCUAUAGUAUCUGAUUUAAAAAAAAGUGCUGCUUUGCUCACUCAGCUAAAGUCCGUGCAGGGCUGCAACUCUUCAUGGUGGUGCAAAGGGACAAAAGCGAUAGAAGAAACCUCUACAAAAGCUGUAGACGCAUCAUGCUACGUUUUAGAGCGUUCACGAAUUUAUCUUGCUGUUAUCUAAUAAAAAAAUCAGGAUUGCUUUUUAGGCUUGAGGUUGUGAAGAGAAAGCAAGCACUUCAGAAAUCUAUUAAUAAUUGGAAAUAACACAACUUUCCUAGUUGAAGUUUUUCUUUUACUGUAAGGUGCAAGACUUGCUAAUGGCAGGUAAGUACCUUUAUCAGAGAGGGAUGCAAACACUUCUGUGGGGUAGCUACACCAUAAUGUACUCAGCGAUAAAUUCCCCUCUGCCUUCAGAAUAAGGGAUGACAUCUCAGGAAUAGUAGCAGGCAGCCUAGCUUCUAAAAAGGGCGAAACAUUGCCAUCUUGAGGUUGCUUUUCUGUAUGGUGUCUAAGUGUGAUGAGAAAAGUAUUCAGCUACAGGUAAUUAAAAAGAAAACAUCUUCAGUUCUGCUUGAAAGGCUCUGAUGGAACACAGAGAUAAAGCUCGUGCAACAGACAACUUGAUUUUCGUUAAAUGUGCCCUUUUCAUCAUUUUUUAAAGAAGAAAAGUAUUUAUCAUGUUGCAGAAUCCUAUUAAAAUAUGAAGUACUCUUUUGUUAAAUAACAAUAAAAGGGAAAAAGUCCAAGGUAUUUUAACCAUAGCUAUUAAUUUUAAGAAGUCCUAAUGAUCCAAGAUCUGGGUGGAUCAAUUUGAUGUUGAAUUUUAGCCCUCAAAAUGCUCAUGAUUUCAGCACGGUGUGUGUGGGGUUGAAGUCCAACAGAAUUGCAGAGACAAAGGAGAAAUUCCCCAGCGCUUCUCAGGCAGGCUUUUUAGUGCUUGCUUGUGUAUAAAAAUUAAAGAUUAUCUGGGAGCAAUUUAAUUAACUUUCUCUUAUAUAGUUGACCUAAUCAUUGACUUUGAACCUGCUGCUGAGUGUCUGUGUUUUUUAGCUUCUUUGUCCAAGAAACAGUUGUCAGGCUACCUGAAAUGUAUAAAUGACUCCAAGGAUAACGUGAAAUAUGCUCAGAGAAUAACUUUGCUGUGUAGAUGCUAGUAAAGGUAAUCGGCAGGCCCCUGAGCACUGCGUACGUGCCAGCUGAACACCUCUCAGUAUCACCUCUGCUGUGAUUGUGAAGGGUGCUCGUGUUACAGGGUACAUCCUCACUUGUAGAGGGAAUCCGAAUUUUGCAGUUAGGAUCAUGGACAUACUUUGUAUUACGUUAAUUUUCCUUCUUAUGGGCUAAUUUACAGAAAUAGUAUCUGAGCUCUGAGAUGAAGUGUAUGGAAAGAACUGAUGGAAAUCCAGAAAUUAUAGGAUUUAGGAUUCCAUCAUUAGGAUUUAAUAAUGGAGUAGCUUUUAUUUCCUUUGUUCUUUGUCCCUCAGAGUAGUACAUGUUAACUAAACUGAUUUCAUUCUUUUUAAAAUGAGGACUGAAUUUCUUCAAUAUCCCACUUAGUACCUCUUUUUUUGUGGGUUUUGUCAUUGUUGUUGUUUUUUAUACAUAGGGCAAAAGAUGCUCAAAAUAGAAUGCUUUCAUGAGCCCUGGUUUCUAUAGGCUUAGGGUUGUUUCAGGUCAGGGCAAAGGUCUGUCUAGUCCACUAAUUUUUCGAACAGCAGUCAGUAGCAGAUGCAAAGGGAACACUUGAAGAAGCAGCCAAGAAUAUUUCACCACCCAUUUUUCUACUCAGAUAUUCAGUUAUGGCAAGUCCAAUACUAAAAUAUGGACAUAUUUAGGUAUUUAUCUAUGUUCAUAUACACAACCAUGCCAAGAAACAACCUCCUGGCAGGUAAUUCAAAGAAAAACGUUUUUACUGAAUU